rnacentral:rRNA from 1 species
CCGGCAAACGGGUGCGGAACACGUACACAACUUUCCUUUAAGUGGGGGAUAGCCCAGAGAAAUUUGGAUUAAUACCCCGUAAUAUUAUGAAGUGGCAUCAUUUUAUAAUUAUAGCUCCGGCGCUUGAAGAUGGGUGUGCGGCUGAUUAGGUAGUUGGCGGGGUAACGGCCCACCAAGCCUACGAUCAGUAACUGGUGUGAGAGCACGACCAGUCACACGGGCACUGAGACACGGGCCCG